rnacentral:lncRNA from 1 species
AUGAACAAAGCUAGUGGAGGUGAUGGAAUUCCAGUGGAGCUAUUUCAAAUCCUGAAAGAUGACACUGUGAAAGUGCUGCACUCAAUAUGCCAGCAAAUUUGGGAAACUCAGCAGUGGCCACAGGACUGGAAAAGGUCAGUUUUCGUUCCAAUCCCAAAGAAAGGCAAUGCCAAAGAAUGCUCAAACUACUGCACAAUUGCACUCAUCUCACAUGCUAGUAAAGUAAUGCUCAAAAUUCUCCAAGCCAGGCUUCAGCAAUAUGUGAACAGUGAACUUCCAGAUGUUCAAGCUGGUUUUAGAAAAGGCAGAGGAACCAGAGAUCAAAUUGCCAACAUCUGCUGGAUCAUGGAAAAAGCAAGAGAGUUCCAGAAAAACAUCUAUUUCUGCUUUGUUGACUAUGCCAAAGCUUUUGACUGUGUGGAUCACAAUAAACUGUGGAAAAUUCUGAAAGAGAUGGGAAUACCAGACCACCAGACCUGCCUCUUGAGAAACCUCUAUGCAGGUCAGAAAGCAACAGUUAGAACUGGACAUGAAACAACAGACUGGUUCCAAAUAGGAAAAGGAGUACGUCAAGGCUGUAUAUUAUCACCCUGCUUAUUUAACUUCUAUGCAGAGUACAUCAUGAGAAACGCUGGACUGGAAGAAGCACAAGCUGGCAUCAAGAUUGCCAGGAGAAAUAUGAAUAACCUCAGAUAUGCAGAUGACAGCACCCUUAUGGCAGAAAGUGAAGAGGAACUAAAGAGCCUCUUGAUGAAAGUGAAAGAGGAGAGUGAAAAAGUUGGCUUAAAGCUCAACAUUCAGAAAACGAAGAUCAUGGCAUCUGGUCCCAUCACUUUAUGGGAAAUAGAUGGGGAAACAGUGGAAACAGUGCCAGACUUUAUUUUGGGGGGCUCCAAAAUCACUGCAGAUGGUGACUGCAGCCAUGAAAUUAAAAGAUGCUUACUCCUUGGAAGGAAAGUUAUGACCAACCUAGAUAGCAUAUUCAAAAGCAGAGACAUUACGUUGUCAACAAAGGUCCAUCUAGUCAAGGCUAUGGUUUUUCCAGUGGUCAUGUAUGGAUGUGAGAAUUGGACUGUGAAGAAAGCUGAGGGCCGAAGAAUUGAUUCUUUUGAACUGUGGUGUUGGAGAAGGCUCUUAGAGUCCCUUGGACUGCAAGGAGAUCCAACCAGUCCAUCCUAA